rnacentral:lncRNA from 1 species
GAAAAAGUCACCAUUAGCGUUAGGAAAAUCCACAUAUCUUGUCGUUUUGACUAAUGAUCAUGCUGUGAUCUGCUCUCCUCGUCUGUCUCAUCAAAUCUUUACCCUUGUCUCUUGUUGCCAGAUACAAAGCACGUACAAAGGUGGUUCAAGCCUUCGCUAGCUGUAUGCUCUUUUUCUCGGGGAAAUGAUGGAGGGGAUGCAGAUGACCUUUUGGUUGGCCUCGCAACAAUGAGCCAACUAUGGAGUAGCGAGCAUGGGAGGGCAAAAGUGAGCGUUUGUUGGGGUGCGAGGACGGGGGCCGCACGAGAGAAGGAAAGCAUGUCAAGGGAAAAAGGAGGUAGUCAUCUUCUUCCCAGCCAAAAGCUGGUGUUGGGUGAGAAGAAAGUUGCACCCACUUUUUCUCUCUCAAUCUGCUUGCAGCGAAGGGGGAGGGGAAGAGUCGUCAACUCGGUUAAAGCUGUGACCUG